rnacentral:rRNA from 1 species
UACCUGCAGCUCAAGUGGUGACCGCUAUUAUUGGGCCUAAAACGUUCGUAGCCGGCUGAGUAAAUGCUUGGGUAAAUCGUGCCGCUUAACGGUACGAAUUCCGGGUAGACUGCUCAGCUUGAGACCGGGAGAAGCUAGAGGUACUCCUGGGGUAGAGGUGAAAUUCUGUAAUCCUGGGGGGACCACCAGUGGCGAAGGCGUCUAGCUAGAACGGGUCUGACGGUGAGGGACGAAACCCUGGGGCGCAAACCGGAUUAGGUACCCGGGUAGUCCAGUGCGCAAACGCUGCUUGCUUGAUGUUAGCUGGGCUCCGAGCUCAGCUAGUGUCGGAGAGAAGUUGUUAAGCAAGCUGCCUGGGAAGUACGAUCGCAAGAUUGAAACUUAAAGGAAUUGGCGGGGGAGCACAGCAACGGGUGGAGCGUGCGGUUU